AAAAAAAAAAAAAAAAAAAAUACGGACUGCAAAGACCCCUUCCUACCAGCACCCACCCCCAGCCUUGAGCGCCUCCCUCGGUGCAUGCGCUGUGACGCAGCACCUGUACCCUUCCCUCGAUUGAUCAGACACCCCUUGAUCAGACACCCCUGCAUGAGCCUAUCUUUGUGUCUGCUGUGGUCCAAAUGUUUGCGGCCCCUCCAAAAUUCGCCUUGAUCCCCAACCCCUGAGGCAAUAGUGGCAGCAGGCCCAAUCCUCCUGAAGGGAUUAACGCCCUAGAAAGGAGCUCCAGGCAGCAAGUUGACGCCUCCGCUCUUCCGUGUGAGCACACAGCUUUCGUCUCCUUUCUGCCCUCACAUCUCCUCUGCCGUGCAAGGACAUCCAGGCGGCACCUCGCAGCAACACGCUCAGGAGACACUGAGCCUGCCAGCACCUUGGCCUUGAACUUGCAGCCGCCCCAGCUGUGAGAACGUAGAUUUCUGUUCUGUAUAAACUGCCAAUUCCUUGUUAUUUUGCAACAUAAACAGACUAAGACAGUAUCUCUAGCCCCUACGACAGUAUCUGCUAACAAACGCUAAGGAAUAAAUAAAUGGAUUUAGCUGUAUUGGGUGAGUCCUGAAGCAGAAUUUAUUGCUUAGAUUAGCCCCAGAAACACAGCCCUGGAAAUUGCUCCACAAGCACAAAACCUGAGGUGAGGAGCAUGCUAGUUUUCACCAGGGCAAACCCACCUCUCCAUUGCAGGGUCAGAACCAGCCUUUGUGAAUCUUUUGGGAAUUAGGAGCAGGCAGAUCUGCCUGGGGCAAUUUGCCAUCCACCAAGCCAAAUGGUCAUUCUUCACCAGAUGGUCUUGGAGCUGUUAUUUCUUCCUAGUCACAUGUCCGAGCUGACGCAAUCGCGUCCCAGAGGUUAUAAGAGAAAAGUUGCUGACAUUCACGUCUGACGGAGCCAGUGCCUUGUUUCUGUUUCUGUGGCAAAGGUUUUCUCAACAACAGCCUCCUUGAGAAGUGUACACACACACAGCUUGCCUGCCCAGGCCACAGCGGGAGCCAAGGCUGGAGCUGUGGCUGAGUGGAAAACACCGAGCUCUGAAGGAGCAACAGCCUAGUCAGUACUCUCACCGGGGAGCUCAGAGACGGCAAACAUACGUCAUGCCCUGUAAGAAAUAAGAACAGAAGUUGAGUCCUAGUAAGAGUUUUCAAGUGGGUCCCACGGCUAAAUGAGUGCUGUCUCUUCAUUCAAACAGAGAGGGCAAAGGAACACGAUGGAACAUUCCACUGGGCCCAGCAAGGAUAUGAGUAUACAUUUUUAUUGCCCUGGUUAAGAUCACAAAGAUCAAGCGUGUAAAUUCCACACUUCUUUCCCCCUGAAGUGGCCGGUGAGGUCCGCAAGGCUUCUGUCAGCUCGUGGCACACAGGUGCUCCGAUGGCACCGCCUGCCUCUUUGCACCUGGCACCAUGAAUUCCCAGUUGGUCUCUCCGCAGCGCUAUCCCGAGUCCUACAGUCUAUACAGACAUCCCUUGUUGAACAACCGACCUGUUUGAAAACCGUUUGGACUUGUAGUGUGCCACUUGGACGCAUGACCCGUCUUUUUUUUACGCAGUUCUGUUGUUUAUAGAGUUUCAGUGUUUUAUUCUUGUACGAUCCAUUUUGUGUGUAUAGUGCUGUAAUUUCCGCCAAUUGUACUGUACAACACAGUAGCUUCAUGUUCUGUUAUAUAUUAUAUAUUACAGGACUGCAUGUGGCAGUUACACAAACAAAAGCAAAGUCAUCAAGGUGGACUUUCCCUUGACCAUUUCCUUGUGUUGAAUAUUGUAAUGUACAUAGGAUAUGCAAUUUGUGAUUUAGUGACCCAUUUGUUUAACAGCUAGUCACAGGUAUGUGACUUAGUCAUUAAACAAGGCGUGUUUAUUGCAACCGCUGACAGCAUUCCCUCAUCCUAGCUAUGAGGCCACUCCAGGUCUUCCGUUCCUUAGGGCCUGCCAAGCCACAGUUGAUCAGUUUUGGUUGCUCCUCAACAUGCCGGGCAUACAGGACCCCAGCCACCCCUGUUGCCAGAGUCCCAUCUGCUCUUCCCCCCACAGUGGCAUCAGGAACGCUCCCGGGGCUGGCUGAUCCUAGGCCGCUGGAUCCCUGUUGUCUGUACGCUCAUCUGACUUGACCGGUGAAGGGGCACCGAGGGUGGUAGAGGACCCACACUCGUCUGGGGAGUCCAACUAAUAGCUCAGUGUUUUCCCUCCUACCUACCUCUUUCUGCAUUUCCCAGCCCAGCCAGUUGUGCGGUAAAGUUUGGUACCUGAAGGUAAAAAAAGCACCCCUUUUCACUUCACCUACUGUUCUAUGCCUAGACUGCAACUUCUGCUCAGUGCCAAAAAGAUCAUGCUCUUAUAACUAAAAAUUCUUUUUCUUUCAAGUACUCUACCUCUGUUAUCAGCUUCAGAUUUCAGUAUGGCAUUCUGUGCAUUAUAUACAUUUAAAAAUGUAGAUUAUUGUUUCCUGUGCAUAAAUCAUUAUAUAAAAGGUAUGGUCACACUCUGCUCAUUACUGGUGUUUUGUUUUGUGCUGUUUUGCUUCUGCUAAGCUUUGUCUUUUCCUGUUCCUAUGUACAAACCUAAUAUGCAGCUUCUAAUUGCUGCACGUUACACCCUAGAUAUUCACAUUUUCUUUUACCUCCUCACAAAUGAUGGACCUUCACAUUUAAAGUUCAUGCUGUUCUAUAAGGUUAUAUUGCAAUAAAUAUCUUCAUCCACCUUCCCUUGAAAAACUGUCUAAAAAUUUUAUGUACAAGAUUUCAAGUACAAGAAGUGAGAUUCCCAGCUACAAGGUAUGCACGUUUGGUUUGAAUUUGCACUGCCAGAUUGUUCAGACCAGCUGCACAAACAUUACACUAGCUCUGAAAUCUUAACCCCAGCCCUAACCUUAACCCUAACCCCAACCUUAAACCUAACCCUACAUCCUUUCUCACCAGCAAUUCAUAUCCUUAUACUGCCAGCCACUGGUAAUGCCCGGUGUUCUAAUUUUGUACCUAGCUAGUAAGUGUAAAGUGAUAUCUUGUAAUUGUCUUAUUUAAUAAUGACUUUGCACGUUUCUUAACUGUCUGCUAGUUUGAGAGGACCCUUUGCUUUUAGUGAACUGC